GACGAACGCUGGCGGCGUGCUUAACACAUGCAAGUCGAACGGAAAGGCCCUGCUUUUGUGGGGUGCUCGAGUGGCGAACGGGUGAGUAACACGUGAGUAACCUGCCCUUGACUUUGGGAUAACUUCAGGAAACUGGGGCUAAUACCGGAUAGGAGCUCCUGCUGCAUGGUGGGGGUUGGAAAGUUUCGGCGGUUGGGGAUGGACUCGCGGCUUAUCAGCUUGUUGGUGGGGUAGUGGCUUACCAAGGCUUUGACGGGUAGCCGGCCUGAGAGGGUGACCGGCCACAGUGGGACUGAGAUACCGGCCAGACUCCUACGGGAGGCAGCAGUGGGGAAUAUUGCAAAAUGGGCGGAAGCCUGAUGCAGCAACGCCGCGUGGGGGAUGACGGCCGUCGGGUUGGAAACCGCUUUCGCCUGUGACGAAGCGUGAGUGACGGUAAUGGGUAAAGAAGCACCGGCUAACUACGUG
rnacentral:rRNA from 1 species